rnacentral:rRNA from 1 species
GAUGAACGCUGGCGGCGUGCCUAAUACAUGCAAGUCGAGCGAACGGACGAGAGGCUUGCUUCUCUGAUGUUAGCGGCGGACGGGUGUGUAACACGUGGAUAACCUACCUAUAAGACUGGGAUAACUUCGGGAAACCGGAGCUAAUACCGGAUAAUAUUUUGAACCGCAUGGUUCAAAAGUGAAAGACGGUCUUGCUGUCACUUAUAGAUGGAUCCGCGCUGCAUUAGCUAGUUGGUAAGGUAACGGCUUACCAAGGCAACGAUGCAUAGCCGACCUGAGAGGGUGAUCGGCCACACUGGAGCUGAGACGCGGACCAGGCUCCUACGGUAGGCAGCAGUAGGGAAUCUUCCGCAAUGGGCGAAAGCCUGACGGAGCAACGCCGCGUGAGUGAUGAAGGUCUUCGGAUCGUAAAACUCUGUUAUUAGGGAAGAACAUAUGUGUAAGUAACUGUGCACAUCUUGACGGUACCUAAUCAGAAAGCCACGGCUAACUACGUG